AUUGAACGCUGGCGGCAGGCCUAACACAUGCAAGUCGAGCGAGCGGCGGACGGGUGAGUAAUGUAUGGGGACUGCCCGAUAGAGGGGGAUAACUACUGGAAACGGUGGCUAAUACCGCAUACUAUCGGAUAACCCAUAUGGGUGUAGCUAGUAGUGGGGGUAAAGGCUCACCUAGGCGACGAUCUCUAGCUGGUCUGAGAGGAGAAUCAGCCAAACUGGGGCGGAGACACGGCCCAGGCGCCUACGGAGGCAGCAGUGGGAAAUAUUGCACAGUGGGGGCAAGCCUGAUGCAGCCAUGCCGCGAGUAUGAAGAAGGCGUUAGGGUUGUAAAGUACUUUCAGCGGGGAGACGUUACCCGCAGAAGAAGCACCGGCUAACUCCGUGCCAGCAGCCGCGGUAAUUC
rnacentral:rRNA from 1 species